AUGAAAAUUUCAUCAAGAUUGAAGGGCACAUUCGAAAGUGCUCGACGAUGGAACGCGAAAGGCGGGUAAAAUUGUGCACACUCACGCUGAGAGCUCGACGUGGUCAGGAGGAAAGGUCGCGAAAUUCUUGAAAUUUCAAAAAUCGACUGUAAAUACUGUACUCAAACGUUACCGGGAGACCCAUAAGCGUUAAGAAGUGUACGGUUAUCACGUUCACCAGGAAGAAAACUCCUACUAUCUGGACCUAACGCAUAGGGAACGAAUCAUUGGGAAGGACACGCGAUGUGAAUGAUCUCGAGGCAGCAUUGAUGGCAGUAGCAGAUCAACAAGUGCAGCUGAUUCCAGCACCAAUAGCUCAUCUGUUUCUUCGCCGGAGCAUCGCAAAUCCCCAUCAGGCUCAAGUGCAGGCAACAAUCGAAAAAGAAGGGAGUCGACAAGGUCGAAGAGGAGCAAGCUACGCUACACGAGGAAGGUAAGGUGGACGAUGGAUUGGAUUGCUCCAGUGCGCAAGAGAAAGAAUCGAGAACCGCAACGAGUUAUCCGCAAAUGCAUAGAAACUCUCCAGGAAAACCGCCGUCAUUCAUUUUUUCUACAAACUGAGAACCUCUUCGAGAUGUUGAUGUGUCAGGAUGAUUCGAACAACUAUUUUCCCAGUCGGAGGAAGACAUGAAGCAUAAAGAACGUCAGUACCGACUACGUGUUCGGUGCAAUCGUCAGGAUCUGUUACAGGAGAAGAGUGUGUUGAAUUUGAUCCACGGAAACAUCGACAAGAUCAACAUUAUAUCGUCACUAGGUUUAUGAUGUUAUAUAACGUUAGUAAUGAUUUGUAUUCUCGUUGUUUCAGAUGUGACAAAACGGUUCAUCGAAAAAGGAAAUGUUUUGAGUUGUACGCUAGAUCUCGUCGAAGUUAAGUUGUCUAUUUUGUUUGGGUUUCCGCGUUUCUGUCUGCGGUAUUGAACCCUAAUAUGGAAGAAUUCGCGGAUCUGCUGGUCGAGAACAAGCACAACUUGUAAGCCAAAGAGCGAAUUCUACAAAGUUAAACGGAAACCGUCGUAGCUUCGAUUCAGUUCCGUACAGCAAAGUAUAUCAAGAAGACUAAUCGUGAUACGGAUUUCGCGACUGUUAGAACGCUGUUGAUCUAUGGAUACAGUUUGGACCAACCAACCGGUGGAAAGAACUCCUUGCGGCGGAAGCGUUCAAACAGAAGUUCGUAACGUAACUAGCGUAGAAUACGUAUCGUAUCAGGGACGACAUACUUUUAGUUUGAGGACUGCAAUUCCGAAACGAUGCUGGGGAAUGAUGAUCCAUCGCAUGCUUUUGAUGGCUACAACGUAAGCACGAACACAAAUAUCAACUCUAAUAAUUCAAUAUGACCAUUCACUACCCCUCAAAAUAUUAAAUAUAAAAAUGGAUUUGGGACGAAUAGCCGGUAAUAAAUUUUACCUUGCCAAGCGUAGGUAGGCAAUCGCUCAUUCAAAUAACAACGUGCCUCCAUACCAACCGUAUACGCUUGCGUGAUGAAAAAUAACUCAACAGAGAAAGCAAAGCAGACAAACCAGCAUGGUUCAAAACUGGGUAAACCGGUGUAAGGACACGGUGCAGUAAGGAUGUGCGAACCUUAAAGCGAACGGUGUUGACAAUAAAACAUUUCAACUAUGUUUCGGCGCACGUUGAUUCGCCCGAGCGCAUGUGUGCGCAAGGAGUGAAGGUGCGUCCACAUUAUGCCGAAUGAUGCCGAUCGGCCUCUAUCAGGCGGCAUUUUCCGUUCGUUAUGUAAUGUGGACGCCCCAUCGGGUGCACGAAGCCGUCACGAACACACGAAGCACAAUGUCAUCAAAUUAUUACUUCGUUUUGUUUUGGUAGCAUGACUUGUUUCGGGUUAGAUUCGGUUUGAUUCGAAUCGGUUUUCGGCGCGUCGGCAAGCCCGGGCGGCACGUCCACACUUAUUCGGCUUUACCAGGCGGCCAAUGCCGAUUGGCGUAAUGUGGACGCGUCUUGAGAGUUCAACUUGGUGCAAACAAAAGUUGCACAUCAGCCGCGCGUUGCAUUCCGAAGACAAAUCGGAAUCAAAUUCCUUCCUUACUUGUUUGUAUUAGAGAGGCUUUAAACUUUGCAGUUCAAUCGCUUUUAAUUCCAAUCCCGGACAUCGGACAAACCGACACCAUUUACACCGUGACUAUCAGUAGGACAUCUAUAGUCAAUAGUUAGUUAUACUACCAAACAAGCCGGUGACCACUUGGCCCACACUCUCCCUAAUCUGUACAAAAUUCUUCAUGGGCACAACAUGGGAAAUAUAUGGUGGAAGUUAAUGUUCUUAAUAAAACUCAAUAUGUUGUUGCAUGGAAUAAAAAAAAUCGUAAAAAGAAAACACAU